rfam:Cricetulus griseus cell line CHO-K1, whole genome shotgun sequence.
UUAAAGGCCCUUUUCAGGGCCACCCACUCGACUCUCUUAAAGGGCU